GAUCAUGGCUCAGAGUGAACGCUGGCGGUAGGCCUAACACAUGCAAGUCGAACGGCAGCACAGUAAGAGCUUGCUCUUAUGGGUGGCGAGUGGCGGACGGGUGAGGAAUACAUCGGAAUCUACUUUUUCGUGGGGGGAUAACGUAGGGAAACUUACGCUAAUACCGCAUACGACCUCGGUGAAGACAGGACGUCGGCGUCGUCGCGAUGUAUAGAGCCGACGUGUCGGAGUUAGUCUAGUUGGUCGGGGG
rnacentral:rRNA from 1 species